AUUGCACGCUGGCGGCAGGCUUAACACAUGCAAGUCGAGCGAGCGGCGGACGGGUGAGUUAUGUCUGGGAACCUGCGUGAUGGGGGGGGAUAACUACUGGAAACGGUAGCUAAUACCGCAUACACUCAGAUGCGCCCAGAUGGGAUUAGCUUGUAGGUGGGGUAAGAGCUCACCAAGGCGACGAUCCCUAGCUGGUCUGAGGGGAUGACCAGCCACACUGGGUCUGAGACACGGUCCAGACUCGUACGUGAGGCAGCAGGGGGGAAGAUUGCACAAGGGGCGCAAGCCUGAUGCAGCCAUGCCGCGUGUGUGAAGAAGGCCUUCGGGUUGUAAAGCACUUUCAGCGAUGAGGCGUUACUCGCAGAAGAAGGACCGGCUAACUCCGUGCCAGCGGCCGCGGUAAUUC
rnacentral:rRNA from 1 species